CCUUAGGAGAAACUGUGUUGUUUCUUUGCUAUUUUCACUGAACAUUUCCCAAAAUAUUAGAAAAAAAUUCUGAACAAGCUACAUUGAUUCAAUUUUCGUUGUUCGUUUUGUUCUUAUUCGCUGGCAUUUGUUUUCCAAUUGCGUGAAAUUUGGUCAUUUCCUUAGUGUUUCGCUGACCGACCUGUGCUGGUAUUGUGAUUAAGAGCUAAUACACAUUUUUCGGACGAUUCUGCUGUGCUGCGUUCCUGCUCCGCCUGUAUAUUGCUCCGCCCGUAUUUUAUAGUGUUGCGUUCCUGUUGCGCCUUUGCAUUAGUGUGUGCGUUGUGAUUUAGA